rnacentral:rRNA from 1 species
CUACCCGGGUAUCUAAUCCUGUUUGCUCCCCACGCUUUCGCACCUCAGCGUCAAUACCUGUCCAGCGAGUCGCCUUCGCCACUGGUGUUCUUCCGAAUAUCUACGAAUUUCACCUCUACACUCGGAAUUCCACUCGCCUCUCCAGGAUUCUAGCCGUCCAGUUUCAAGGGCAGUUCCGGAGUUGAGCUCCGGGAUUUCACCCCUGACUUGAAAAGCCGCCUACGUGCGCUUUACGCCCAGUAUUUCCGAACAACGCUAGCUCCCUCCGUAUUACCGCGGCGGCUGGCAC